UCGCGCCUGCGCACAAAACGUCGCCGUUGCCACCUUUCCCGGCCCGCUCUCCAACCGCGCGGGGGUGAGUGGGCUUCCACGACGCCCUCCCCUGUGAGGCGUUGGCGAUCCCUCAGCACCCCGAGCUCAGCUGACUCGUCCUCCUUCGGCCGGAAACCCUCCUCCUGGGCCCGCGCGGGAGGAGCGGGGCCUCUGAGCGGAGCGGCGAGUCCGCCGGCCCCGGUCUCUUUCCCUGGCGGCGGCGGCUUCUUCCGUAGGACAAUAUGUUCAAGAGAAUGGCCGAAUUUGGGCCUGACUCCGGCGGGAGAGUGAAGGGGGUUACAAUCGUUAAACCAAUAGUUUAUGGUAAUGUUGCUCGAUAUUUUGGAAAGAAAAGAGAAGAGGAUGGGCACACCCAUCAGUGGACAGUCUAUGUAAAACCAUAUAGAAAUGAGGAUAUGUCAGCAUAUGUGAAGAAAAUCCAAUUUAAAUUACAUGAAAGCUAUGGCAAUCCUUUAAGAGUUGUUACUAAGCCUCCAUAUGAAAUUACUGAAACAGGUUGGGGUGAAUUCGAAAUAAUCAUCAAAAUAUUUUUCAUUGAUCCUAAUGAAAGACCUGUAACCCUGUAUCACUUAUUAAAGCUAUUUCAAUCAGACACUAAUGCAAUGCUGGGAAAAAAGACAGUGGUUUCAGAGUUCUAUGAUGAAAUGAUAUUUCAAGACCCAACAGCAAUGAUGCAACAAUUAUUAACAACAUCUCGUCAGCUUACCUUAGGAGCCUAUAAGCAUGAAACAGAAUUUGCAGAACUUGAAGUGAAAACCAGAGAAAAAUUAGAAGCUGCAAAAAAAAAAACAAGCUUUGAAAUUGCAGAGCUUAAAGAGAGAUUAAAAGCAAGUCGUGAAACUAUAAAUUGUUUAAAAAAUGAAAUCAGGAAACUCGAAGAAGAUGAUCAGACAAAAGAAAUAUAAACAGUUCUGAAGAGAACUCGAUAAACAUUGCCUCCGAUGAACCAGAUCAAUAUGAAGUGACAGUUCAGAGAAAUGAAAUGUGACCUGUGAAUGACGUGAGAAGCUGAUGGGCCAGGACUUCUUCUGGAAUUUUAUUGGAGGGACUUAUGGGAAUGAAGAUCCAGCAAGUUUCCAGCAGUAAUGGUCCCUGCUCACACAAGCUCCUUCAGCCACUGCUGUGUGUCCCUGUUCAAGUAACACUGUGUUGACCUGUGUUCCAAAGAUCAGGGUCUGUGGUACACCCUCUCCAGGGAUGAGGAGAAGAUUGGUUUUGGGAAAUGACCAUUAAGAAGUAGAUGCCCAGAUGCCAAAGUAAUGAAACAGUCAAUUUGUCAUAAAGUAAGAUGCAGCUGUGGCUUUUCAACCAGAUUAGGACAAAAUUGUAUCUAUUUUUCUCAGAAGAGAAUUCCACAAGGACAGGUUUUCUUCAGUCCUUAAGGAUUCAGCUCCUUACAUGGGCUUUGGCAGAGGUCAUGAGGCAGCAUCUGACCAUUCCUUCAAGACUGGGAGAAGUGGUUAUUUCAUCUGCUGUAUAGAAACCAACACAGAGAGUCAAGCAAAAUGAAGAAACAGAGGAAUUUGUUCUAAAUGGGAAAUAAGAUAAAACCUCAGGAAAAAACCUUAAUGAAAUGAAGAUAAGUAAUUUACCUGAUAAAUUAUUCAAAGUAAUGAUUAUAAAGAUGCUUACUGACCUGGGGAGAAGAAUGGAUGAACACAGAAUGUUAAAGAGAUGGAAAAUAUAAGAAAGUACCAAAUAGAAGUCACAGAGCUGAAGAAUACAAUAAUCAAACUGAAAAAUACACUAGAGGGAUUCAACAGCAGACUAGAUGAAGUAAAAGAAAGGAUCAACUAACUCAAAAACAAGGCAAUAGAACUCACCCAGUCAGAGCAGCAAAAAGAAAAAAAGAAUGAAAAAAUGAGGAUGACUUAAGGGAUUGAUGAGACAACAUCAAAUGGACUAAUAUUCACAUCACAGGGCUCACAGAAGGAGAAGAGAGAGAAAGGGGCAGAAGUCUUAAGAAACAAUGGCUGUAAACGUCCCUAACCUGGAGAGGGAAACAGACAUCCAGAUCUAAGAUGCUCAAAGAAUUAUUAAAAAAAAAAAAAAAGAUCCUAAGGAGACAGACCCUAAGACACAUUAUAAUUAAGAUGUCAAAAAGUUAAAGAGAGGGAAUUCCCUGGCAGUCCAGUGGUUAGGACUCCACACUUCCACUGCAGGGGGAAUGGCGUUUGAUCCCUGUUCGGGAUACUAAGAUCCCCUAUGCUGCAAGCCGUGACCAAAAAAAAAAAAAAAAAAAGAGGGACUCUUAAAAACAGGAGGAGAAAAACAACUUGUAUGCAGGGAAACCCUAAUAAGACUACCAACAGAUUUUUCAGCAUAAACUUUGCAGGACAGAAGGGAGUGGCAUAUAUUCAAAGUGCUGAAAGAAAAAAAAAUAUGCCAACCAAGAAUAUUCUACCCAGUUAUCAUUCAGAACUAAAGGAGAGAUAGAGAGUUUUCCAGAUAAGCAAAAGCUAAAGGAGUUCAUCACCAUUAAACCAGACUUACAAGAAAUGUUAAAGGACUUCUUUAAGCUGAAAAGGGGCACCAAUUAGUAGCAAAAAAAGAAAGAAUGAAAGAAAGGUAAACAUAUAGUAGAGGUAAUAGAUUAAUCAUUCACAAAGGUAGUGGAAAGUUUAAAAAACAAAAGUAAUAAUAACUGAUUACAAUAAUUAAGGGAUAUAUAAGAUAAAAAGAUGUUAAAUGUUGGGACUUCCCUGGUGAUGCAGUGGUUGAGAGUCCACCUGCCGAUGCAGGGGACACGGGUUCGUGCCCCGGUCCGGGAGGAUCCCACAUGCCAUGGAGUGGCUGGGCCCAUGAGCCAUGGCUGCUGAGCCUGCGCGUCCGGAGCCUGUGCUCCGCAACGGGAGAGGCCACAACAGUGAGAGGCCCACAUACUGCAAAAAAAAAAAAAAAAAGAUGUUAAAUGUGACAUCAAAAGCAUAAAAUGGGGUGGGGGUAAUAAUACUGAGCUUUACAAUGGGAUCAAAUUUAACCAUCUUAAAGUUGAUUGUUAUAGAUAUAAGUUGUUAUAUGUAAGCCUCAUGUUAACCACAAACCAAAAAUCUAUGGUAAAUAUUCAAGAAAAAGAGAAAUAAGUAUACCACUAAAGAAAGUCACCCAACCACAAAGGAACAGAGCAAUAGAAGAAAGGAAUAGAGAGGAACAACAAAAACAGCUGGAAAACAAUUAACAAAAUGGCAUUAAAUCAUACAUUUAUCAAGAAUUACUUUAAAUGUAAAUGGACUAAAUUCUCCAAUCAAAAGACACACAGUGGCUGGAACAAGACCCCUCUCUCUAUAAGCUGCCUACAAGAGAUUCAGUUUAGGUGUAAGAACGUACACAGGCUGAAAGUGAAAGGAUGGAAAAAGACAUUCCAUGCAAAUGGAAACCAAAAGAAAGCUGUAGUAGCUCUACUUACAUCAGACAAAUAGACUUUAAAACAGAAGACUAGUAAGAGACAAAAAGGGAAAAGGACGUUACAUAAUCAUAAAGGGGUCAAUCCAACAAGAAUAGUAACAUUUGUAAAUAUUUAUGCACCCAACAUAGAAGCACCUAAAUAUAUAAAGCUAAUAUUAACAAACCUAAAGGGAGAAAUAGACAGCAAUACAAUGAUAGAUGGAACUUUUAAUAUCCCACUGAAACCAAUGGAUACAUCAUCCAAACAGAAAAUCAGUAAGGAAACAUCAUCCUUAAAAUACAUAUUAGACCAGAUGAACUUAAAUAUUAUUUAUAGAACACUCUAUCCAGAAGCUAUAAAGUACACAUUCUUCUCAAAUGCAUAUGGAAUAUUUUUUCAAGAUAGAUCAUAUGUUAGGUCACAAACUAGUCUUAAUAAAUUUAAGAGGAUUGAAAUACUAAGCAUCUUUUCUGACCCCAGUGGUAUGAAACUGGAAAUUAAUUAUACUAAGAAAACUGGAAAUAUCACAAAUAUGUGGGGAUUAAGCAACAUGCUACUGAACAACCAAUGGGUGAAAGAAGAAAUCAAAAGAAAAGUCAAAAAUACUUUGAGACAAAUGAAAAUGGAACAUACCAACAUUUAUGGGAUGUAGCAAAAGCAGUUCUAAGAGGGAAGUUUGUAGUGAUAAAUGCCUACUUCAAGAAGUGAGAAAAGUCUCAAACAACCUAACUUUACACCUCAAGGAACUAGGAAAAGGAGAACAAAUGAAGCCUAAAGUUAAAAGGGAGGAAAUAACAAAGGUUAGAGCAGAGAUAAAUUAGAGACUAAAAAGACAAUAGAAAAGUUCCAUGAAACCAAGAGCUCGUUCUUUGAAAAGAUAAAAUUCACAAACCUGUAGUUAGACUCACCAAGAAAAAAAAGAGAGGACUCAAAAAAAUAAAAUCAGAAAUGAAAGAGGAGAUGUUACAACUGAUAACUACAGUAAUACAAAGGAUCAUAAGAGACUACUUUGAAUAAUUGUCACUAACAAACUGGACAACUUAAAAGAAAUGGAUAAAUCCUUAGAAACAUACAGUUUGCCAAGACUGAAUCAUGAUGACAUAGAAAAUCUGAACAGACUGAUUACAAGUAAGGAGAUUAAAUCAGUAAUCAAAAACUUCCCAACAGACAGAAGUUUAGGACCAGACAGCUUCACUAGUGAAUUCUACCAAACAGUCAAAGAAGAAUUAAUACUAAUUCCUCUCAAACUCUUCCAUACUUAUUUUAUGAGGCUAACAUUAGCCUGAUACCAAAACCAGACAAGGAUGCCUCAAGAAAAGAAAAUUACAGGCUAGUAUUUCUGAUGAAAAUAGAUGUAAAAAUCCUGAACAAAAUAUUAGCAAAACAAAUUCAACAACAUACAGACCAUGAUCAAGUGAGAUUUAUUUCAGGGAUUCAAGGAUGGCUCAACAUCUGCAAAUCAGUCAGUGUGAUACGUCACAUUAACAAAAUGAAGGAUAAAAAUCAUAUGAUCGGGGCUUCCCUGGUGGCGCAGUGGUUGAGAGUCCGCCUGCUGAUGCAGGGGACAUGGGUUCGUGCCCCAGUCUGGGAAGAUCCCACAUGCCGCGGAGUGGCUGGGCCUAUGAGCCAUGGCCACUGGGCCUGUGCGUCCGGAGCCUGUGCUCUGCAACAGGAGAGGCCACAACAGUGAGAGGCCCGCGUACCGCAAAAAAAAAAAAAAAAAAAUCAUAUGAUCAUCUCAAUAGAUGCAGGAAAAGCAUUUGACAAUUAUGAAAAGCAAAUGAAAAGCAUUUAACAUCCAUUUAGGAUAAAACCUAUCAAAGGGGCUUCCCUGGUGGCGCAGUGGUUGGGAGUCCACCUGCAGGUGCAGGGGACGCGGGUUCGUGUCCUGGUCUGGGAGGAUCCCACAUGCCGCAGAGCUGCUGGGCCCGUGAGCCAUGGCCGCUGGGCCUGCACUUCCGGUGCCUGUGCUCCGCACCGGGAGAGGCCGUGACAGUGAGAGGCCCGCGUACGGCAAAAAACAAAAACAAAACCAAAAAACAACAGCAAAAAAACCCUACCAAAGCAGGUAUAGUGGGAACAUACCUCAACAUAAUAAAUGCCUUAUAUGACAAGCCCACAGCUAACAUCAUAGUCAACCAUGGAAAGUUGAAAGCUUUUCCUCUGAGAUCAGGAAUGAGAUGAGGAUGUCCAUUCUUACUACUUUUAUUGAAUAUAGUAUUAGAAGUCCUUGCCAGAGCAGUUAUGGAAGAAAAAGAAAUAAAAGCAUCGUAAUUGGAAAGGAAGAAGUAAAACUGUCACUAUUUGCAGAUGACAUGAUAUUAUAUGUAGAAAACCCAUAAGACUCCAUCAGACUGUUAGUAAAAAAACAAAAAUAGAAUUCAGUGAAGUUGCAGAAUAUGGAAUCAAUACACAAAAAUCAUUGUGUUUCUGUACACUAGUAAUGAAAUGUCGAAAAGAGAUAAAACAGUCCUAUUUACAAUUGCAUAAAAAAAUAAAAUACCUAGGAAUAAAUUUAACCAUGGAGAUAAAAUAUCUUUAUACUGAAAAUUACAAGAGAUUAAUAAAAGAAACUGAAGACGACACAAAUAAAUGGGAUAUUUAGUGCUCAUAGAUUGGAAGAAUUAAUAUUGUUAAAAUGUUCAUAUUAUCCAAUAUACAUGUUCAGUUCAAUUCCUAUCAAAAUUCUAAUGGCAUUUUUUCACAGUAAUAGAACAAACAAUUCUAAGAUUUCUGUGGAACCAUAAAAAACCCCAAAUAGCCAAAGCAAUUUUGAGAAAGAAGAACAAAGAGGGAGGCAUCAUGUGCCCUUGUCUAAAACUACAUUAUAAAGCUAUAGUAAUUAAGACAGUGUGAUAUUGGCAUAAAAACAGGCACAUAGAUCAAUGAAUGGAAUGGAAUACAGAGCCCAGAAAUAAACCCACACAUAUAUGGUCAAUUAUUUUACAACAAAGGAGCCAAGAAUAUACAAUGGGAAAAGGACAGUCUCUUUAAUAAAUGGUGUUGGGAAAAUUGGACAGCCACAUGCAAAAGAAGGAAACUGGAUUGCUAUCUUAUGCCAUACUUGAGAAGUAACUAAAAAUGGAUUAAAGACUUGAACAUAAGACCUGGAAGCAUUAAAACUCCUAGAAGAAAACAUAGAUGGGAAUCUCCCCGACAUAGGUCUUGGUGAUGAUUUUUUGAAUCUGACACUGAAAGCAAAAGCAACAAAAACAAAAAUAAAUAAGUGGGAUUACAUCAAACUAAAAACUUAUGCAUAACAAAGGAAGCCAUCAACAAAAAGAAAAGGCAACCUACUGCGUGGGAGAAAA